UACGUAGGGUGCAAGCGUUAAUCGGAAUUACUGGGCGUAAAGCGUGCGCAGGCGGUUAUGUAAGACAGUUGUGAAAUCCCCGGGCUCAACCUGGGAACUGCAUUUGUGACUGCACGGCUGGAGUGCGGCAGAGGGGGAUGGAAUUCCGCGUGUAGCAGUGAAAUGCGUAGAUAUGCGGAGGAACACCGAUGGCGAAGGCAAUCCCCUGGGCCUGCACUGACGCUGAGACGCGAAAGCGUGGGGAGCAAACAGG
rnacentral:rRNA from 1 species